GACGAACGCUGGCGGCGUGCCUAAUACAUGCAAGUUGAGCGCUGAAGGUUGGUACUUGUACCGACUGGAUGAGCAGCGAACGGGUGAGUAACGCGUGGGGAAUCUGCCUUUGAGCGGGGGACAACAUUUGGAAACGAAUGCUAAUACCGCAUAAAAACUUUAAACACAAGUUUUAAGUUUGAAAGAUGCAAUUGCAUCACUCAAAGAUGAUCCCGCGUUGUAUUAGCUAGUUGGUGAGGUAAAGGCUCACCAAGGCGAUGAUACAUAGCCGACCUGAGAGGGUGGUCGGCCAAAUUGGGAAUGAGACACGGCCCAAACUCCUACGGGAGGCAGCAGUAGGGAAUCUUCGGCAAUGGACGAAAGUCUGACCGAGCAACGCCGCGUGAGUGAAGAAGGUUUUCGGAUCGUAAAACUCUGUUGGUAGAGAAGAACGUUGGUGAGAGUGGAAAGCUCAUCAAGUGACGGUAACUACCCAGAAAGGGACGGCUAACUACGUG
rnacentral:rRNA from 1 species